CUCCGCCAUUCGCGCCUCCCCUGUCUACCCCGAGAAGCCCUCUGCAACAAUAUCUCUCUCACAUUCUUACCGAAACCCUCUCUAGAGCGAUCUCUCUCUCACAUACGGAAACCUUUAAAUGUUUACUGUGCUUUAUAGUGAUUUUCCGGCCAUUUUCUCGAUCUGGUCCGGAAUUUGUUAAUUUCUAGCGUUUGAUGGUUUUAGGACCUUUUCGUUUGAGCUUGAGCUAAAUUCUUUGAUCAUUUGAACUUGAAGAAUUUCCCUUUUUGAUUAUUAGGCUUUUUCAGCUAUUUCCUUUCGAGCAUGAGAUUUUUUUUUAGCUUGUUUAUAGGAUUUGCGGUUCAUUUUUUUUCCUGAUCGAUCUAAAUUCAUCUGGAUCAAGCUACAUUCUUGUGGUCUGUCAUUUGUUCUCGGUAUAAAUGGAUCUUCUUUGCUGAAUCUGAGCCAUUUCCUGGCAAUGUUGUAAGGGUGAAACAGAAAAAAUUAAAUCUUAAUGGCUUUCUUAUAAAAGAGAAUAUAAGAGAGAGAAAGAGGAAGUUUUUUCGAUACUUUUUUUUUUCUCUCUCUCGCUCAACUCUCAAACCUCAAGCGCUGGUUCUCCGGCAAGAUUCCGGCCAGUUCUGAGGAGAAUCCGGCCAGCUUUAACAAUCAGCUUUGUGAAGGGGUUGCAGAAGGAUGGACUCAUUAUCUUCAGUCAGUGUUGCUCUCUCUGAUAUCGAAGGGCAGAUCAAAGACAUAUUUCGAGCAUUAUCCAAUGGAUAUCAGAAACUAGAGAAAAUGAAAGAUUCCAAUAGACAAAGUAGGCUGCUGGAGGAGCUUACUGGAAAAAUGAAGGAAUGCAAAAGGCUUAUUAAGGAUUUUGAUCGAGAAAUAAAGGAAGAGGAGAGUAGGAACCCUCCAGACACAAACAGACUUCUCAAUGAGAAAAAACAAUCAAUGAUUAAAGAAUUGAAUUCUUAUGUAGCUCUGCGAAAGACAUAUGCUAACUCCCUUGAAAACAAGCGAGUUGACCUCUUUGAUGCAGGUGGUGGUGGUGGUGAUGUUUUUGCCAAGGAAAAUGUGCAAUUGGCUUCAUCUAUGACAAACCAACAAUUGGUUGAUAGUGGAAACCGAAUGAUGGACGACACCGAUCAAGUUAUUGAGCGAUCCAAAAAGGUUGUGGAGGACACCAUUAAUGUUGGGGCAGAUACUGCAGCUGCCCUCAAGGCACAGACCGAACAAAUGAGCAGAAUUGUUAAUGAACUGGAUUCAAUCCAUUUCUCAAUCAAAAAGGCUUCUCAACUGGUUAAGGAAAUCGGUCGACAGGUUGCUACGGAUCGGUGUAUCUUGGCAUUGCUCUUUCUAAUUGUUUGUGGCGUGAUAGCAAUCAUCAUAGUAAAGGAUACUUGGCUGUGGUUAAGGAGGGCACCAGAAAGCACCCUAGAGAUUGGCCCCUUGGGAGACUCUGCUUCAUGAUGGCGGACCUGAGAUUUCACUCUAUCCACCGCCGUUUCCAAUACUGGGUGGUGUCCUUCUACACACGUCCCCAACACAGAUAGGUAGAUCUUUGAGAACAAUAAAUUUAUUUCGGAUAGAGAUGGGAGCUGAGUUUUCAUUUGAAUUUUGAGAUAUAACAUUCAAGUUUUUGUUGGCAUCAUACUUUACUAACCACCGUUGAACAAUGCGUUUCCCGAUGAAAGCGGUUCUUGAUUGCGAUGAACAGCCAGGAUUGCUCCGAGAUGCAUUCAAUUCUUGAGGUUUUCGUGCCAUUGUACUAGCUUGUGCACCCAGGUAACAAAGACAUAAGGGACAUUCCGGGACUUGGCCCUCCAGCCCUCGCAAGGAAACUUCUUU